UUCGGAUUGUAGUCUGCAACCCGACUACAUGAAGCUGGAAUCGCUAGUAAUCGCGGAUCAGAAUGCCGCGGUGAAUACGUUCCCGGGUCUUGUACACACCGCCCGUCACACCAUGGGAGUCGGAAAUGCCCGAAGUCUGUGACCCAACCUACGGGAGGGAGCAGCCGAAGGCAGGUCGGAUGACUGGGGUGAAGUCGUAACAAGGUAUC
rnacentral:rRNA from 1 species